rnacentral:lncRNA from 1 species
CUAAGGGUAGGAGUUAAGAUUGAUAGGUUUAUAUGUAUCAUGUUUCUUUCUUUUCUUGUGUUGCUCAGAGAGUUCAUUUCUACUUUCACUUUCACUUUCAUUUUCGUGUUCCGAUACUCUGAGCUGCACUGUUAUAUUAUGAACGGAAGGACUAUUCAUAUGAACACUUUUAUUUCAGGUAUCGCGGCCGUAUUGUAUUGUAUUGUAUGUAUUAUAUUAUUGUUUAUGGGAAAUAUUGAUAGGACAGGGUUCGUUCUCACUGUUUGACCAGGGGGGUACUUUGACAUGAUCCCAGCUUUAGUUUGACCUGUAUAUCGCUUGUCCCUUUUGCUCACCUGUUUUAUUCAAUCACGUUAAGGGUCUAUAUUGUAACCAGGGUACGUUCCCACUAAGGGUUAUUCUUGAUAAGCCCAUAUCUCCCCUUUUUCCCUCGACAGUUGUGUAUUUCUAUUUGUUUUUGCGCCAUGUUCUAUAUUAUUGCCGUGGGAACUUCCGGUUUUAAGGACCAAUCGGAAUGGACAGAGAUAACCUAGUUUCCAGAACCCGGUAUUAUGUAUAUUUAGAAUUACAACCAAUCGCUACGUUAAUUUUACGGACACACUUAUCGUUAUAGUAACGGACACACUUUCUGUGUCCGCGAACUUCCGGACUAUAUAAACGGUUGUAGCAGACGAUUCUGGACAGCUCAGCUCACAUUACCUUGACCAUUUUGAAUAGAUAUACCAUUAUUACCAGAGCCUAUACCACUUGUGAACCAUUACCAGGUUAAUGUUAACCCCGAUUUUUAUGAUAUUUACGACCUGACAAGUGACCUAUAUUAUUUACUAUAAUACUAUAAAUAGUAAAACCACUUUCCCAUGUUUACGCACGACGAUUAACAUCCAAGGGGGGCUCUGAACCGUUUUUGCUUUGGGAUAUUUAUUUAUAACAUAUAUAUAUUGAUUUAUGACUGAUUAAAUAGUCAUUGCUAAACUUAUAACUGUUUUUGUUAUAUUUUGUCUUGAAAUGAAUAAGAAACCAGUGUCUUAGAUUACUCAGUCCAGCUACCAAGGUUUGCAAGUUACCAUUGCAUGUUUCACGAUUACCAGUGAAAGUUUAUAAAAGGCCUGCUACCAAGGUUCUAGUGUUAAGCAAGUAAACACACACACA